rnacentral:rRNA from 1 species
AUUGAACGCUGGCGGCAGGCCUAACACAUGCAAGUCGAACGAGUGGCGGACGGGUGAGUACUGUCUGGGAAACUGCCUGAUGGAGGGGGAUAACUACUGGAAACGGUAGCUAAUACCGCAUACCAACGGCUGUGCCUAGAUGGGAUUAGCUAGUAGGUGGGGUAAAGGCGCACCUAGGCGACGAUCCCUAGAUGGUCUGAGAGGAUGACCACGCACACUGGAACUGAUCCACGGUCCAGACUCCUACGGUACGCAGAAGUGGGGAAUAUUGCACAAAGGGCGCAAGCCUGUUGUAGCGAUGCCGCGUGUAUGAAGAAGGCCUUCGGUUUGUAAAGUACUUUAAGCGCGGAGGCGUUACCCGCAGAAGAAGCACGGGCUAACUCCGGGCCAGCCGCCGCGGUAAUAC